ACGCAAAUAGUAUAGAAUGUAUAUUGAAUUUAGGUUUUGAAGGAAAAUUUUGUGUU
rnacentral:tRNA from 1 species